AACCUCGUAGUAUAGCGUAUAGCACGCCGACUAUUCUGCUAGAGGCGUAGGUUCGAAUCCUGCCGAGGUUC